GUCUUCUCGAAUAUACACAGGCACAUUUCAUCAGAUUCCUUAUCUCUCCGGCAAGCCGUAUAUGAUCAUGUAUAUACCUGAGUAUGCCGUCAGAUAUGUUCUCAAAGAAAUGGUGCAUAAUACAGAGAACAAGUGUGCUGUAAUUAAAGUUGAACGAUUCGAGGACACUUUUCCAGCGAACUACGAGCUUCUUGUGAAGCAAAGGUUCCUUCGCAAUCCUCCAGAUGAUUGCCUAAUAAAAUAUAGGCUCCAUGCGAAGACAGCGAGAGAGAAAUACUUCAAGAAGUAUUCAGAUAUAUAUGGCGAAGCUGUCUCUGCAACACUGUGCAAGAAGUACUACCGCAAAAAGUAAUAAAAUAAUAUUGUUUGCUUA